UACGGAGGGUGCAAGCGUUAUCCGGAUUCACUGGGUUUAAAGGGAGCGUAGGUGGGAUGGUAAGUCAGUGGUGAAAUCUUCGAGCUUAACUCGGAAACUGCCGUUGAUACUAUCAUUCUUGAAUAUUGUGGAGGUAAGCGGAAUAUGUCAUGUAGCGGUGAAAUGCUUAGAUAUGACAUAGAACACCGAUAGCGAAGGCAGCUUGCUACACAAUUAUUGACACUGAGGCUCGAAAGCGUGGGGAUCAAACAGG
rnacentral:rRNA from 1 species